AUGCUGGUGGGUACCCCCCCAGAACACGAGAGCCCCCCGCUUCCCCCUCCCCUGCCUGAGAAACCAGCCUACGCAGAGAAGACACCGAAACCGGGGACACUACCACCCACUCCCCCUAGAACAUGGACACCGUCCCCGCCUCGCACAUCCACCCCAGAGAUCCCUGGAUUCCUCAGACAGUUUCUGGAGGAGGACUGGUUUAAGGGCAUCUACCCAGACCAAAGGCUUAUCCAAGGGUCACUGUGCCCAGAAGAGUUCUCCAUGCAGAUUCUGGAACACAUGCAGGCUUGUGGAGACCAGCCCAAGUUGAAGAUGCUGGAUGCGCUGCUCGCUCUGCGCCAACAGGGGGAGCUACAUGACACAAAGCAGCUCAGCAAAGGGCUUUUGGUCACUCUGCGCAAAAGCAUCUCAUCGAAUAUGACCAACAAUGAGCGGCGGGUGGUAAGUGAAAUUGUCAAUGUGUUGGUGUGUGUGAGUCCUGAUAGCAACGAGAUCAUCAUGACAUUACUCACUCUGCUGGCCCACAAAGACCUAAAGCUACGGAGCAUGGUGCUGUGUCUGCUGAAGGAGAUGGGCGUGAAGGAGGCUGACCCAUGGCUGGUCCUCCAGGUUGAUUCCUGGGGCUCCAUAGCCCGGGACCAAACCGACUGCUGGGAGAGCCUGAGUGAGAUGGCUGCAGAAUGGCUGGAUUGCUUGACCUCAAAAUACCAGAUGCAGAACCGGGCUAUAUUUCUAACGGAGACCGGGAAUAAAAACCUAUUCACAUGUGUGGACGUGCUCAAUUACUUCUGCCAGGAAAGGGCAGAGUCGUUGAAUGCACCGCCCAUCCCACAAGAGGGACGCAAAAGAACUGUAUUGCUCCUCCCUAAAUCCCUCAGGUCUAAGCCAAUCCAGCGUCUUGGAGAGACCUACACCAUGUCGAGAAUACGCAGACCUCCAGGUGUGAUCCUGCCCCCUCUCCCAAACCGGCCUGUUCUCAUGGGCUUCACCCGUUUCCUCACCCUGCCCCUGCCCAAGGUCAGCCCGCUCCCCUUUCGGGUCCACGCGGACCAGCACCGUCUUGAGGCCUCACCACGACGCUACUUCCUCCUGGAGCAGUCCUAUGUGAAUUAUUACAGAUAA
rnacentral:lncRNA from 1 species